rnacentral:rRNA from 1 species
AAAGGCAGACGUGGUAGAAGGGUUUUGURCAGCSUAUMSCUGURSCCUVUCCCUGDVUGVCGUGCCUNGURGGGCCUCGCGCGUACACAGCGCUUGUACGCGAGUUAGUCGUUCCUAAGCGACAGGCCAGCGCCUUCACAGGCCGCCUCGUCUUAACCAGCGAGGACUGUACGCGAAUGGGAAGCCGGUUGACGUUCCGGCGCCUGGAUUCCGAGCACGGCCUCUCGGGGCCUAAGGAGGCGGUAACGCCGUUCCGGCCACAGGAGACGUCGCCGCUGUGCGCACGCGGAAGCCACACUGCUUACGCUGCAGGCAGGUUGUUUUCCGUUGAGGGUCCGUCCACGGACGCCGCCGUAAUCGCAUAAUGCGGCGAAGCGGCAUUGCCGGACGGGCCGCAUAGAGCGUUCAUCAUGUGUACCGACGCUCCUAUGAUAGCUGCACGCCGCGACCCGUGAAAAUCCUGUGGCCGCCGAUACUGUUGCUCGGACCGGUACGUACCUCAGAACCGCAGCAGGUCUCCAAGGUUAGCAGCCUCUUGUCACGCGGAAGUCAAUGUAGGUAAGGGAAGUCGGCAAACGCGAUCUGUACCUUCGGCACAAGGAUUGGCUCUGGCGACGAGUUGGCAGGCCCGUGCUUUCGGGCACGCGGCAGCCAGCGACACGUUAAGUUAGAACCGGCACGGACCGCCCGGGAAUCCGACUGUCUAAUUAAAACAGAGCAUCGCGACCGCCGGCGAUCGACGGCGGUGACGCGAUGUGAUUUCUGCCCAGUGCUCUGAUUGUCAACGUGACGAGAGUCGUGCAAGCACGGGUAAACGGCGGGAGUAACUAUGACUCUCUUCUGGUAGCGAAAUGCCUCGUCGUCUAACUAGUGACGUGCAUGAAUGGAUUAACGAGAUUCCCACUGUCCCUACGUACGGUCCGGCGAAACCACAGCCAAGGGAACGGGCUUGGCGUCGCCUGCGGGGAAAGAAGACCCUGUCGAGCUCGGCACUCAGCGGCCGUUGCGACGAGACGCGGGAGGUGUAGGAUAGGUGGGAGGUGCUCGCACCGACAGUGAAAUACCACCACUCCCGUGUGUCUCAUCGCUAAUACGGCUGGACGGCUCUCUUAAUUGCUUUAUGCGACCACGACGACCAAUGCGGUCCGUAGACAUCGGACGCUCGGGUGCUUGGCUGGGGCGGUACACUAACGAAACCAUAACGUCGGUGUCCAAAGGAACGCUCAGCGGGAACGGAGAUCUCGCGUAGAGCAACCGGGUAAAAGCGUCUUUGAUUCCACAGAUUCUCAGGUAGGAAUGGGAACCGCGAAAGCGAGGCCUCUCGAUCCUUUACGUUCCGUUCAGUCCUCGACUCGAGGCUAGAGGUGUCAGAAAAGUUACCACAGGGAUAACUGGCUUGUGGCUGCCAAGCGUUCUUAGCGACGUGGCUUUUUGAUCCUUCGAUGUCGUCUCUUCCUAACGCAGCCACGCAGCAGUGGCUAACCGUUGGAUUGUUCGCCCUACACAAGGGAACGYUGCAKAYGCAGGAUCCAUGCGGUCCUGCGACCUGUGCACGUCACGCGGCCGCCUCUCGAAAGCGCGAGU